rnacentral:lncRNA from 1 species
UCGCCUUGGGCUUGAUCCAGGUGAGGAAGAAUUGGAGAUUGAAUGACUUUGCCGGGUAUUCUUUAUUAUAGAUAGCACACACAGGAAGAUGGGUAGCUUUGGGAUGGGUCAUGGUCAAGAGCCAAGACCUCUUAUGCCGAAAAGACCGGAUUCUCGCCAUCUCAGAAGGUCAGAGGGCAAGCAAGUUGAUUCCCAUUAUCUUGGGUACGAAACUACGACUACGCUAUGAAAAGCAUCUCUCUCUUAUUAUAUUCAAUAAGGCUAGCUCUUCAUCUCUUUCGCUUUGAGGUCGAUUAAGUAGUAUCCCAC